rnacentral:rRNA from 1 species
UGAGCAAUCUGCCCUUCUCAUCGGAAUAAGCGUUGGAAACGACGUCUAAUGCCGAAUACGACCUCCUUUCGCAUGAUCGGAGGUGGAAAGCUCCGGCGGAGAAGGAUGAGCUCGCGGCCUAUCAGCUAGUUGGUGUGGGUAAUGGCCCACCAAGGCAACGACGGGUAGCCGGCCUGAGAGGGUGACCGGCCACACUGGGACUGAGACACGGCCCAGACCUCCGUACGGGGAGGCAGCAGG